rnacentral:rRNA from 2 species
GGGCUUGGCUACGAGCUAUACAUGCAGUCGAGCGAAUGGAUUAAGAGCUUGCUCUUAUGAAGUUAGCGGCGGACGGGUGAGUAACACGUGGGUAACCUGCCCAUAAGACUGGGAUAACUCCGGGAAACCGGGGCUAAUACCGGAUAACAUUUUGAACCGCAUGGUUCGAAAUUGAAAGGCGGCUUCGGCUGUCACUUAUGGAUGGACCCGCGUCGCAUUAGCUAGUUGGUGAGGUAACGGCUCACCAAGGCAACGAUGCGUAGCCGACCUGAGAGGGUGAUCGGCCACACUGGGACUGAGACACGCCCCAGACUCCUACGGGAGGCAGCAGUAGGGAAUCUUCCGCAAUGGACAAAAGUCUGACG